UACGAAGGGGGCUAGCGUUGCUCGGAAUUACUGGGCGUAAAGGGCGCGUAGGCGGGUGUUUAAGUCAGGGGUGAAAUCCUGGAGCUCAACUCCAGAACUGCCUUUGAUACUGAGGAUCUUGAGUUCGGGAGAGGUGAGUGGAACUGCGAGUGUAGAGGUGAAAUUCGUAGAUAUUCGCAAGAACACCAGUGGCGAAGGCGGCUCACUGGCCCGAUACUGACGCUGAGGCACGAAAGCGUGGGGAGCAAACAGG
rnacentral:rRNA from 1 species